CACUGACCUUGACCACUAUACAAAAGCUCAGAAACAGAAAAGCACCCAAUUUCUCUCCCUCCCUGUGCAAUUUGCCUAAUUUUAGCCAGAAUAUCACAGCAUGAAUCUGGGGGGAGGGGCAGGGGAGAAGAGAGAGAUUCCAAAAUUCUAGCCCUUGGGCCUAGACACACACACAAGGGCCCCCGGAACCUCCAGGUGAGGUCUUGCCAAAAGGUUUGAAAGAGAUGGAAUUUAAGGGAAGUUGGCCUGAGAGCCUCUCCCUCCCCCCUCAGUCUCCAGGACAAAAGCUCCGUUCAUAUGCACAUCUGUGGGGGGUGGAGGCCCUUCAGCCACCCUCCAAUAUUCGACCAGCUUAAUCUGGAGCCCAGAGAGGUGGGGAGGCAAUGGCUGGACCUGCCCAGGGUGGAGGUCCUGCCAUAAGACCCACCUGGAAAGCAGGAGAUCCCAGAGCCGGGAGCCUCGGCCGGGAACCCUCACUUUCUCCCUGCACUCAGCUGGCAGGAGAUAGACUGGCUUGUUUUUGUUGGCCAGGCUCCCUUGCCGGUUUUGGGGUGAGUCACUGAGGCCGGCCGGUCCACCUGGGGACAAAUGCAGCCUCCCCGGUGGGAACAGCAAGCCCAGGCGACGGGAAGUCCCAGCACCCUGCUUGAUGACCCCCAGCUGCAGGCCAGAGUAGCUGUCGCGGGGCUCCGAGCAUAGACGACUCACAUCCUCCCAAGACUUCUUUCCAGUUUCCUAAUCCCCCAUGCCAUCCCAGAGGCCCAGGGCCCCCUUUUCCCUCCAAGCUGCCAGGAACUCCUUAGAUCUGCCCUGGCAGCCUGCGGCCCAGGCUUCCCUGCAACUUACCACUCGGGUCCCCACUCCAGAGGUGGACGUGCCUGGGGUUCUUUGAGGGCCCCAGGGCCAGAGCCAGCCUCGGCCAGCCUGGGAAAGGACUCCCGGAAAACCGAACAGGAAGUUCCCUGCUCUAGUCCCAUCCAGGUGUCUUUUUGGGUCGUGCGCUUGGCUGGUUGCAGUCCGGAGGGCGCUUUCUUCAGCGGCACCUGCGGUUCAGAGCCCGGGGGCACUCUCGUGGCACCACCUGUCCUGGGCACCCGGGGCCACCUACUCGGUGGCCAGAGGCUCGGCGUUGGCCAGCCCUCGGCCUCGGCCGUGGAUCCGUCGGGGCCAGACCCUGCGCUGGCUCCGGCUCCCUCUGCCGGGGCGUUGUCUCCCUGCACUUGGGACCUGGGCUUUCUUGUUCCUUUGCAUUCAUCGUCUAGUGUGGGCCUCCCUGCACCACAAGCUCUCUGUGGACAGCGGUGUUUCCCUUGUCUGCGCCGAUCCUCCACACCUAGCCCAGAGCUGGCGUGUGUCAAGACGGACGGAAUGGCUUAGCAGCAGGCUCGCGAGGCCCGCCGCCCUCGGGGGUGUGCAGCGCGCCCAGCCCUCGGAGCUCCACCGCGUGGACUCUACUCGCCGCCCUCACCGGCGGUGGCCGCGAAACCCCACCGACCCGACCGGGCCUGGUAACCCGACCCCGGGGCGGAGCCUGGAAACCCCCUCUCCUGUGCGGGGCCCGGUAACCCCCACCUUUCGGGCGGAGGCGCCUCCCGCACACCCAGGUCUGGACUCCUUCCGGCGGGUCCCGCUCCCGAGACGGACCUGCUCCCCGUGGCUGUGGCCUUGGAGGUCGUGGCCAUGUCUGAGCCGUGGCAGUGGGGGCGGCGCACUGCGGGCAACGGGCCUGUACGGAUACGGUGGAGGGGACCCGCUGGAACGUGCGCUCCCCGGGUAAGGGUCGGAGUGCGCAGUGAGGGCCUGGGGGAGCUGGCUGAGCGGGAAAGCUCGGGGUUCGCUGUUAGCAGUAAUUUCCAGGCCUCCGACUCAGAAAUGAUAUCUUUGCUGGAAAUGUGUCAGAAAAGCAGAGACAGGCUUGACCAAAUCACCAGAAAUAGCAUCCAGGCACAGGGGCUGGCGCCUGCGUUGACACGAAAGCAACACUAGCUUUUGGUCUCCUUCGUUCCAAAACCCCCGCCCGGGCUUGGGCUUGGCCAGUAACCCCGCUGCUGGCCCGCCGCGUGCGGGCACCAUUCAUUCAUUCGGGAAAUGUUUGCGUCCCCCCGUGUGUCUGUGCUCUCCCUGCCCCUGGACACCCAGUGCUGAGUGGAGUGGACACGUGCUGCCCCUGUGAGGCUUCCAGUCUGGGCAGCACCGGGUCACCGAAGCUGGGAUUCCUAACCAAAGUGACUUUGCAGAGAAAAGGGCUUAAUGAACAUUUAAGUCCCUUCAAAUUCUUCCUGAUCUUUGAAAAUACACUCCCCUCUCCCAGCGUUACCUCCUAACAGAUGAAAGUUCUUGUGAAGUUGCUGGAUUGUUACCUAUUUCCACAAAUGAUAAACACACCUCCAAAGGAAAGACUUUUACUAAAAAUCUACCUAUUUGAGGUAUAUUUCAGUAUCUCCUAAAAUUAUUUUGAAAAUGCACACAAACUAUUCUAGGUGUUACUUUAGAAUUUUUUUUAAGUAGUUGGUGUCUAAAAAAAAACAAGAGCAAAAAAAACCUAACUUUUUGUUUUUGUUUUCUGAUUUA